rnacentral:lncRNA from 1 species
AAAAAUCGAGCUGGGGGGUUCCCUGGUCCCCGAUGUUGGGGCGGAGAGCGCGGCGCCCAGGGAGGGGGCGGCGCAGACCGGCCUAGGGGACACCUGGUCGAGCGCAGCCGCCGCUCCGCUCGAGCCCUGCGCUCCAGUGCCCCCACUGGCUGGAGAGCUCGCCCAGACCAGGGGUCUUCCUCCGUCGCUGACAGAUUUUAACCGUUAGAAGAGUACCAGUUCUGGAAAACAACCAAAGUUUCUUUGAUUGAAUGCCCAUGUAAUGCAUUGGAAUAUGAUAGGCGAUUAAGGUUUAACAAUGUUAAAAUGAAGAUAUUACUAAAAUGACCCUCUAAAUAGCCCAACAAUUAUUAUUUUCUUUGUCCUGUGGAUUUGGCUUUGAAGGGUGUGCUGCUCUUAAUAAGGUCUUCACACUACUCAGUACUUAGUGUGUUAGAAAUAAGGAAGGUGAUAAAGAAUGCCUGUAAGUCUCUCUCUCGGGCAGAAACCUAUGUGUUCCUCUUCCAGAGAGCUAGUGAAGCCAAAAGCAUUCUCAUAAUGAUGGGCUACACCGACUGACAUUUACCAACUGUGUCAAAGCUACAGAAGCUAGGUAGACACUGCUGGAACUUUAACGGGAAUCAAACAAGUCUAUAAGAAGCACUGAGCUGUGCCACUACCCAAUCAGUGUUCUUCCAGAGCACACAAACGGAAGGGGGAGGAGCUUUCCAAUGAGAACUGUUGUGUGAUUAAUCAAAGAGGCUGACUAAAGCACACACCUAUAAUCCCAAUACUCAGAAAGACAGAGAAAGAAGGA